ACAGCAGUCGCCACGGUAAAACGGAGGGUGCAAGCGUUAAUCGGAAUUACUGGGCGUAAAGCGCACGCAGGCGGUCUGACAAGUCAGAUGUGAAAUCCCCGGGCUCAACCUGGGAACUGCAUUUGAAACUGGCAAGCUAGAGUCUCGUAGAGGGGGGUAGAAUUCCAGGUGUAGCGGUGAAAUGCGUAGAGAUCUGGAGGAAUACCGGUGGCGAAGGCGGCCCCCUGGACGAAGACUGACGCUCAGGUGCGAAAGCGUGGGGAGCAAACAGGAUUAGAUACCCGCGUAGUCCCUGUCUCUUAUAC
rnacentral:rRNA from 1 species